UUGAUCACUGACAUUAGUACUGAUGAUACUGACAUUACUAUUAGCCUACCUUCUCCUAUUACUGAUUUUGUCAUCAAUGGAGCUACUCCUGGUUCAACAUACACUGUACAAGUGGCUGCCAGUAAUCCUAUUGGACUUGGACCAUUCACUACUACUGCUUUUGAGAUAUAUUCAAUGGAAACGUCAAAUUUUGUUACAGUGUCACCAACAUGUACUCCAACAGGAC